AGAUCUAGCGGCGAACGGGUGAGUAACACGUGAGAAACCUGCCCCGAACUUUGGGAUAACACGAGGAAACUCGUGCUAAUACCGAAUACCUUCUUCUGGUCGCAUGGCCGGAUGAAGAAAGAUUUAUCGGUUUGGGAGGGUCUCGCGGCCUAUCAGCUAGUUGGCGGGGUAAUGGCCCACCAAGGCAUCGACGGGUAGCUGGUCUGAGAGGACGAUCAGCCACACUGGGACUGAGACACGGCCCAGACUCC
rnacentral:rRNA from 1 species